rnacentral:rRNA from 1 species
CCUACGGGUGGCAGCAGUGGGGAAUAUUGGGCAAUGGGCGCAAGCCUGACCCAGCAACGCCGCGUGAAGGAUGAAGGCUCUCGGGUUGUAAACUUCUUUUAUCAGAGACGAAAAAAAUGACGGUACCUGAUGAAUAAGCCACGGCUACCUACCCGCCAGCAGCCGCGGUAAUACGUAGGGGGCAAGUGUUAUGCGUCAUUACUGGGGGUAAAGGGCGCGUAGGGGGGAGAGCAAGUCAGACGUGAAAUUCGAGGGCUCAACCCUGGAACUGCGUUUGAAACUGUUCUUCUAGAGUGAGGGAGAGGUAGGCGGAAUUCUGGGUGUAGGGGUGAAAUGCGUAGAUAUACGGAGGAAUACUAGUGGCGAAGGCGACCUGCUGGACCUUAACUGACGCUGAGGCGCGAAAGCGUGGGGAGCAAACAGGAUUAGAUACCCCAGUAGUC